UACGGAGGGGGCUAGCGUUGUUCGGAAUUACUGGGCGUAAAGCGCACGUAGGCGGUAUCCCAAGUCAGAGGUGAAAGCCCGGGGCUCAACUCCGGAAUUGCCUUUGAAACUAGGACACUUGAACGUCGGAGAGGUGAGUGGAAUUCCGAGUGUAGAGGCGAAAUUCGUAGAUAUUCGGAAGAACACCAGUGGCGAAGGCGGCUCACUGGACGACUGUUGACGCUGAGGUGCGAAAGCGUGGGGAGCAAACAGG
rnacentral:rRNA from 1 species